AACGAACGCUGGCGGCAGGCCUAACACAUGCAAGUCGAACGUGAAGCCGCCUUCGGGUGGUGGAAAGUGGCAGACGGGUGAGUAACGCGUGGGAAUCUACCCAAUGGUACGGAAUAACUCAGGGAAACUUGAGCUAAUACCGUAUGUGCCCGAAAGGGGAAAGUUUUAUCGCCAUUGGAUGAGCCCGCGUCUGAUUAGCUAGUUGGUGGGGUAAUGGCCCACCAAGGCGACGAUCAGUAGCUGGUCUGAGAGGAUGAUCAGCCACACUGGGACUGAGACACGGCCCAGACUCCUACGGGAGGCAGCAGUGCGGAAUAUUGAAAAAUGGGCGCAAGCCUGAUCCAGCCAUGCCGCGUGAGUGAUGAAGGCCCUAGGGUUGUAAAGCUCUUUCGACGGGGACGAUAAUGACGGUACCCGUAGAAGAAGCCCCGGCUAACUUCGUGCCAGCAGCCGCCGUAACAC
rnacentral:rRNA from 1 species